rnacentral:rRNA from 1 species
AGGGCUUAAUCAUGGCCCUGAGCGAAUGCUAUUUGGUUGUUUUAAACAUGCGAGUCAAUACUUAGAAUUCUUAGUAUGGCGUACUGGCGAGUACAAAUAGGUCGUUACCUUUAGGAAGUUGAAUAAACUAUACUCUUACCUUUGUGCUUAAUUCCGAAUGGUUUUAAGAAUACAAAACUUUUAGUAGUUAAAGUAAGACGAAAUAAAUCGUAUUUGCCUAUUGAUACACUUAUAUCAUAGCAGCUAGUUGGUAGUGGUAAUGGCCUACCAAGGCAAUGACAUGUAGGUAUGAUUGAAAGAUCCAAUGCCCGCAGAGGACUCUGAGAUAUAGCCUCGGCUCAAUUUAGGGCACAGCAGUUUAGAAUCAUCGUCAAUGAUCGUAAGAUUGAACGUGCAAACCAAAAUCUAAUUUUAGUUCAGGCUAAAUAGAUAUAGUAAGGCUAGAUAAUGACCUGUCUUACUAAUAGUCGCGACCAACCCCGGUGCCAGCAGUUGCGGUUAUACCGGUGCGGCAAGCAUUGCUCAUUGUGAAUAGGCGUAAAGGGUACGUAGGUUGCAUUCUCUCAGUUAAUUUAAAUACUUAACUGGAGGGAAAGCUAGAAUCCGAUGGAAGUAACCAGUAUUUCGAGAGUAGUGCUGAUAUACUUUGAUACUCGAAGGACUACCAAUGGCGGAAGCAGGUUACUAAGUAGAGAUUGACACUGAGGUACUAAAGCGUAGGGAGCAAACAGAAAUAGUAACUCUGGUAGUCUACGCCCUAAACGAUGAGUGCUAGAACUUCUUUAAUUCAUAUUGAGAUUCUUAGCAAACGCAAUAAGCACUCCGCCUGGGAAGUACAGUCACACGACAGAACACCAAAUGAUUAGACGGUCCCGAGAACCCGCAGUGAAGCAUGACGCUUAAUGCGAUAACCCGCGCAUAACCUUACCUAUACUUGAAUCACAAUACUAGAUAUUGUAGACAGGUGCUACAUGACCCUCUUCAGCAUGUGCUGUAAAGUGCUUGGUUAAAUCCGCUAACAUGCGCAAUCCUUACUACUAAUUAAAAACUUAGUAGUUUAUGGCUGAUAUAGUCAUAUAGUAGGGCUAAGAGAGGUCCCCAUGACCCCUAUGUAUAGGGCUGCCGUUGUGCUACGAAGAGUUUUACAAAAUGAUGCAACGCUGCAAGGCUGAGCAAAUCACCAAAUAAACCCACACGAAUUGUAGUCUGUAAUCGACUACAUGAAGUAGGAAUUGCGAGUAAUCGUGUAGUAGUGCGACACGGUGAAAAUACCACUCGGGAUGUACUAAUUGCAUAUCACGUCUGGAAAGGGCUUGAUUUAUGAAAAUCCUUAAUCGCUAAUUAGAGGUCAUUGCAACCUGAUUGCUAAAAUCUUAGUAGU